rnacentral:tRNA from 1 species
GAGGAUGUGGCUCAGGAGUAGAGCACCUGCCUAGUAUGCAUGAGGGCCCUGGAUUCAAUCACCAGCACCAUCA